ACUAAUUAGUGGAGCAACAGUUCUGCGUGAAGCGGGUCAGGGGAGGAAUCCAGCAGCCCUAAGCGAGGUGAACUGUGUGCUCUUUUUCUAUAGCUCUU
rnacentral:SRP_RNA from 1 species